AGGAGGAACAGCCCCAGUGGCAGGGCCAGCUCUGGAAACCUGGAUUCAGCUCCGGCAGGAACUCCGUCUGCAGGGCCUGGAGGCUCUGGGGCGGG
rnacentral:pre_miRNA from 1 species